rnacentral:lncRNA from 1 species
CUGUUCUUGGGUUUGUCAGGGGCUCUAUUGUUUUCCUCUGCUUUCUCCCACACAAAUGGCAGAUCUUGCAGAUAUUAAUGAUUUGUUCUAAUCUGCUUGUAUAGUAGUCCCUUUUUAUCCACGGAGGAUAUGUUCCAAAACCCGCAGUGGGUGGCUGAAGCUGCAAAUAGUUCCAAACCUUAUAUGUACUAUGUUUUUUGUCAGGUAGGGAAAUCUGUCUUAUGGUUGCUGAGAGAAUUAAAUGAGAUAACAUAGGUUAACUGUGUUUAUCAUAGUGUCUUGCAUAUAGUAGAUGCUUGAUAAUGAUUCACGUCAUUCAUUUCAUUUUCCUCCCUCCCUCUGAAUUAUCAACAGGUAUUUCUUCUUGAAUAGAGAUGGAAUAGGAAUCUAUGCUUAUACUGGCACACAUAUAGAAACCAAUGGUGUCAUUACACCAGAGAUAUCUGCCUCUCUGUGAAUGUGUUUUUUAUCACGGCUU